rnacentral:rRNA from 1 species
AUUGAACGCUGGCGGCAGGCUUAACACAUGCAAGUCGAGCGGAGAUGAGGUGCUUGCACCUUAUCUUAGCGGCGGACGGGUGAGUAAUGCUUAGGAAUCUGCCUAUUAGUGGGGGACAACAUUCCGAAAGGAAUGCUAAUACCGCAUACGUCCUACGGGAGAAAGCAGGGGAUCUUCGGACCUUGCGCUAAUAGAUGAGCCUAAGUCGGAUUAGCUAGUUGGUGGGGUAAAGGCCUACCAAGGCGACGAUCUGUAGCGGGUCUGAGAGGAUGAUCCGCCACACUGGGACUGGGCCACGGCCCAGGCUCCUACGGGAGGUAGCAGUGGGGAAUAUUGGACAAUGGGGGGAACCCGGCUCCAGCCAUGCCGCGUGUGUGAAGAAGGCCUUAUGGUUGUAAAGCACUUUAAGCGAGGAGGAGGCUACUGAGACUAAUACUCUUGGAUAGUGGACGUUACUCGCAGAAUAAGCACCGGCUAACUCUGUGCCAGCCGCCGCCGUAACAC